AUGCCCAAUCCAUUGACGCCGGAAAGGGCCAGCGUGGAUGAUGAUGCCGUUGAUAUCCGAUAUUCCAGCAUAAUAUCGACUAACUGCACAAUGAUACUCGUCUGCGUUCUGUCAGGACUUGUUUUGGUAAUGCCUUUCUGUCUCAUAUGGGCUACGCUGAUCGUCUGACUAUAUGGCCCAGCCAGAUUGCCGGGUCAUUUU
rnacentral:sRNA from 1 species